AAUGGGCGCAAGCCUGACCGAGCCAUGCCGCGUGAGCGAUGAAGGCCUUAGGGUUGUAAAGCUCUUUCGCCAGGGAUGAUAAUGACAGUACCUGGUAAAGAAACCCCGGCUAACUCCGUGCCAGCAGCCGCGGUAAUACGGAGGGGGUUAGCGUUGUUCGGAAUUACUGGGCGUAAAGCGUACGUAGGCGGAUUGGAAAGUUGGGGGUGAAAUCCCAGGGCUCAACCCUGGAACUGCCUCCAAAACUGCCAGUCUUGAGUUCGAGAGAGGUGAGUGGAACUCCGAGUGUAGAGGUGAAAUUCGUAGAUAUUCGGAAGAACACCAGUGGCGAAGGCGGCUCACUGGCUCGAUACUGACGCUGAGGUACGAAAGUGUGGGGAGCGAACAGGAUU
rnacentral:rRNA from 1 species